CUGGCAGGCCACAAUAAUGGCCACGACUUUGCUCCACUUCCUGCGGUGGAUACCGUGCGGCUCCUCCACUCCCUGGCAGGCCACAGUAAUGGCCACGACUCUGCUCCACUUCCUGCGAUGGAUUCCGCGUGGCUCCUCCACUCUCUGGCAAGUCACGACAAUGGACGCUGCUCCACUCCCCGCAACGGGCUCCACAUGGCAGGCCACGGUGAUGGCCAUGAUUCCACUCCACUACUCUUCAUAAUAAACUUCUCCUGGCCCCGAAUGGCCUACUGCCAGGCGGUUACAAACAUCGCUAUCAGUCUGUUACACCCUCCGCCUAUAAAAAGAGGGGACUCCAGAUACGUUAUUCUCUAAGCU
rnacentral:lncRNA from 1 species